rnacentral:rRNA from 1 species
GCCUGUAACCAAAUCACCCGAAGUAUGCCUGGUCUUGUCAGAUCUCGGAAGCUCAGCAGAUUUGGGCCUGGAUAGUGCUUGGAUGGAUGGCCACAGCGUAUAAUAGGCGUUAUAGGCU